UGUAGCCACGAGCGGGGGGCAAUAAUAGAGGAAAAGUGUACUCUUUUGGCAAUGCUAAUGACCCUUGUGUCCAUAGCAGAGAGAAGACCCUGAGAUUGAAAGGUUGAACUUAGUUAUAAGGAGCUCAUUAAGGAAGAGGAUGAAGAAAAAGAAAAGUUAAAUGGGAUUAUUGCGGGGUUGUUGGCCGGAAAAGAAAAAGAUAAGGUGGAUAAAGAUACUAUGCUCGAUAGGAUGUCACAAAUUGAAGCUAUGUUAACAAGUACAAUUCGAAGAUAAGCUACAAACACUUGGUUUUAAAUGUUUCGAUCUGGUAUUUCUAUUAGAAUGUUUUAUAUGCUUUUGAUACAUAGAUGUUUUAUAUAAUUUGGGUUUUCGUGAUGU
rnacentral:lncRNA from 1 species